UCAUCGCCGGCGUUACUGGUCAAGCUCCGACUUCACCACCAACCGCUACACCAGCUCCACCAACUCCAACAACUCCUCCACCAGCAGCAACUCCUCCUCCUGUCUCAGCACCACCACCAGUCACAACAUCUCCUCCUCCAGUCACCACUGCUCCUCCUCCAGCAAAUCCACCACCACCAGUCUCUUCUCCUCCUCCUGCUUCUCCUCCACCAGCUACUCCUCCUCCAGUCGCUUCUCCUCCUCCUCCCGUUGCUUCUCCUCCACCAGCAACUCCUCCUCCCGUCGCUACUCCUCCCCCAGCUCCUCUAGCUUCCCCUCCUGCUCAAGUUCCAGCUCCAGCACCGAC
rnacentral:lncRNA from 1 species